rnacentral:rRNA from 1 species
AGCGCAGGCGGAAUGAUAAGUCUGAUGUGAAAGCCCACGGCUCAACCGUGGAACUGCAUCGGAAACUGUCAUUCUUGAGUGCAGAAGAGGAGAGUGGAACUCCAUGUGUAGCGGUGGAAUGCGUAGAUAUAUGGAAGAACACCAGUGGCGAAGGCGGCUCUCUGGUCUGAACUGACGUUGAGGCUCGAAAGUGUGGGUAGCAAACA